UACGAAGGGGGCUAGCGUUGUUCGGAAUUACUGGGCGUAAAGCGUGCGCAGGCGGCUUCUCAAGUCAGGGGUGAAAGCCCAGAGCUCAACUCUGGAAUUGCCUUUGAGACUGAGAGGCUUGAGUACGGGAGAGGUGAGUGGAAUUCCCAGUGUAGAGGUGAAAUUCGUAGAUAUUGGGAAGAACACCAGUGGCGAAGGCGGCUCACUGGACCGUAACUGACGCUCAUGCACAACAGCGUGGGGAUCAAACAGG
rnacentral:rRNA from 1 species